rnacentral:lncRNA from 1 species
GAUCACAUGGAGAAACCAACAUUGUUAUUUUUGUGCAUAUAGAUUGAUGUGGCGUUAUUGUUGUAGUAGAUAUAGUAUAUCUACUACUAUGUUUUCCAAUUGCUGCCAAAUAAACAUGGUUCACCUAUACUGUACUCCAGAAGGGUUUAGAGAUGCACUGAUACAACUACGUUUACCACAAUUAAGCAUUUUUAUGUAUGAUGAAGUUGUAUUUUAUUAACAAAGUCUUGCACAGCUGUGUUGUCCCUUACACAUACAACACCACAAUGACAAUACAACGAAAUGCAUCAGCCUUUAUCAGACCACAYCAUGAUGCCAAUGGGUGAGUUCUAGACACAUUCUGCACAGAUUAUACAAACACUCUCUUAUGGACGUGGUUCCUGAGACACUUCUCCAGACCAGCCAUUGUAAGAUCAGGGCCCGUCUCAUAGUAGGAAUGCUGAUCUGGGAUCAGUUUUGCCUCUGAUAAAAAUGAAUGGACAACUGAUCCUAGAUCAGCACUCCUACUCUGUAUACAGGUCCUGAUCAUCUGUGCAGAAUUUGUGUAUCUGAAACACACUCAUUGUGAAAAGCCCUCUCAAAUMAUUGURUUCGCUUCUCUUUGCAAAUCUUCUCCUGUACUCCUUGCUGACGUCCAUUUUGAAUCCCCUCCAGGUAAAACAAGUUUUUAGUUCCUCAAUCCAACACCUGUGUCAUUUGGGACUGAACAGUGUGUGGCAGGGCUUGGCUUUUGACCUGUUGAGUUUAUCUACAUGAAGUAUUCAUGUUGGGGUUCAUUUGUUCAGGAUGUAUUUCAUUACACGUCUUUACAAUCUGACAACCAUCUGGAUAUAUGACAUUAGAUACAUUAUAUACUGACCUAGUCAAUCUACAACCAUCUGGAUAUAUAACAUUAGAUACAUGUUAUACUGACCUAGUCAAUCUGACAACCAUCUGGAUAUAACAUUAGAAAUUAAACCAUCAUCCGACAACCUCUGAUAUAGCAUUAGAUACACGUUAUACUGACCCUAGUCUUGCUUGUCCAGCUGAAGGUUCUACUUGGCUUGUGUCGCUAGACAACACUGGCAGAUGUGAAAGAGACUGGAUUGACCGAACCACUGCCCUCUGUUUUGUAGAUCCCUCCAGGUGCCAGGCCGACCAGAAGAUCCGUCUUCAGGGAAUGGAUCCGAGGAUGAACAGCUAUAGUUAUGGAGGAGAUCACUACGUUCACAUCAAGAUCAGAGUACCUAGUAAGAGAGAAAAGAACACACACAACAGUGCGGGGACACACACUCCCGAAACACACACCAAUCAAA